GCGAGUUGAAGCGAGGAUAAACUGUGAUGAAGUCCACAUGAACCUGUGGUUUGACAAUGUGUAUGAGGAAAUAUGGCAUAUCAUCAUCACGGUGUGAUAUGACCAAGUUCCUUGACAGCCACUCUUCCACCUGACAGAAUGAAGGCUGCAUCUGUGUCUCUACUCGACGUGGCUGUGCUGCUUCUGUCUGGAUUAAAAGUGUCUGCAGUCUCUCUGAAUGUCAGUCCAAACCGUCAACAGUUUUUUAUGGGAGAGUCUUUCCGUCUGAGCUGUAAGGAAGAGCAGAGCUCUGCUGGAUGGACGCUGAAGAGGAUAUCAGCAGUAGGCCGACAGAUAGAGACGUGCGGAGCUGCGAAAGGCUUUGGGAGACCCAGUGGUUCCUCCUGCAUCGUCUCAGAUCUCUCUCCAUCAGCAGAUCGAGGCGUUUACUGGUGUGAACACAGCAGUGGACAGAGUAGCAUCAAAGUCUCUAUCACCGUAUCAGAUCGUCCUUUUAUCAUGGAGAUCCCUGCACUUCCUGUGUUGGCAGGAAGUCAUGUGACUCUGCGCUGCAGGAACAGAAAUGGUUCCACCAUUCCGGUUAACUUCUUCAAGUACAGUACCCCGAUUGGAGCUGCACCUGAAGGAGAGUUUACCAUCAGUAAUGUCCAACAGGCUGACGAAGGUUUCUACUGGUGUUCUGCUGGUCAGGCUGCAUCACCAUCGAGCAGGCUGAAUGUCAGAGCUCCUCCCCCCACCAACGCCCCACCCCUCGUCUCUGUGUCUCCUCUGGUCAGGCUGCUCUGCCAUCUAGUGGUCAUCAGUACAUACUGCGUCUCCACCGUCCUGAUGGUGUCCAUCUACUGCUGCAGGAAGACACCAGCCGUCACCAUGGAGAUGGCACAGCGCGUUGAAAACGGGCAGGGAUUGGAUAGCAGCUAUGUUAAUGACGCCGCCGAUGUCACCACUGAGCAUGACUUCUGAGCUGAAGAGUGACGGUCUGUGUGUUCCCGUUAAACUGCACAGCAAUGACGAAUUACUGCAACGGAAGUAUUUCACUUAACACCUGCCAGCUUUUCAAUAUUUUAAGCUGCAAUUAAAGAAAUGGGUCACCUGAAUGACGGACUGGGCUUCAGAGUUACCUUCCUCCUAAUGCAGUCUUCUGCAGUGAAGAACCACAUCAUGUCCCUCCAGCACAGGACGGGCAGGAAGUUCCAGGAUCACAGAACCAGCUGAGCGAUGAGAUGGAAACAUAUUUUAUGUUAAACACUAUUUCUAUAUAUGUUUAUCAGAAAACAUCAGUCAACUAUGCCUUAUUAUUAUUAUUAUUAUUAUGAUUUAAUAAGGGUGUGAAGAGUAUGUUAAAACAAAAGUAUUAUUAAUAUUUACUCUCGCUGUCUACUUAAUCUUAAAUAUUGUCUGUGUGUGAUAUGGUGAACGCAUUCUUGUAUUCUUCUUCUUGCUUUAUUUGUAUGCAUGCAGAUGCUUUUCUACUUUGUAGUUUCACCCUGUACGCUCUGUUUUGUAUUUGUUAGUUAGCAGAAGGUGAGCAUGAAUGUUGGAGGCCUUUCUUGGACUUGUUCAUGUUGCUUGCCCUGUGAGGGGACAGAUUUGAGACAUCUUCCUAAACACAAUAUGCUGUAUGUCACUCAGAAGUGGC